rnacentral:lncRNA from 1 species
UUUAUUCUUUAGAUUCAAUUUCUUCCUUCUUUCCUUUCCCUCCUUUUUUGACUCCAAACUAUGUACAUCCCCCUUCCACUAUAGAUAGCGCGAGCACCUCCCUGCUCAUUUGGAUCCAGUUUUUAACUGGGAGGGAGCUUUUCCAUGAUAUCUUAACUGGGACCAAUGCCAAAGCGGGGGUAGAAAUUUAUGCUCCCCAAUUUUUUGCUCGUCAGCUU